CUGGACGAGCCAAGAGACUGGGUGGUGGGGCUUGGCUUGAAACUGUAAACUCUUCUCUUGGAUAGAUUGCAGGGUGGGACUGAAAAAUGACAUCUUGCAUUUGGAAAAUGUAGAUAGGAGAACAAACUGUUCACAGAAUAAUAGGAUUUAGAAUGGGAGGGAGUUUGGGGUAAUUUGCUUCAAUCUCCUUAUUUUUACAGGAGAGGAAACUGAGGCUUUAAGAAGGGAAGAAUGGAGAAUAGCAACAGGCCUCCUGACUCAAAAUAUUGGUUUUUCUACUACUUUCAGAUAUUGAUGGAAAAGAUGUACAAUAGUAAAAAGUCCAGAGACAUUCAGGGGAUUGAAGAAAGAAACCUACUUGUAAGAAGGAGUCUCUGGCAAAAAAAGACUACAUAAAGGAAAAUCUUUGGGAGACACAGAGUGAAAUAAUGUCCCUUCUAAGUUCAAGAGCUAUUGAUACAAGAAGCAGGAGUGUUUCUCCACACAUACCUGUUAUUAUCCCUAGGAAAAGCUGUAGUUAUGAAAGAGUCUGGCCACUUGCAGAUUUGAGUUUCAAAAAAAGGCCAGUAAUAGCAGCUCUUUUAGUGGUAGCAAGGAAUUGGAAAUUGAAGGAAUCCCCCUCAGUUAGGGAAUGACUGAAUAAAUGGUAGUAUGUUACUGUGAUGAAAUACUAUUGUACUGUGAGAAAUGACAAGCAAUAUGCUCUUUGAAAAACCUGGGAAGACUUACAUGAAGUGAUAAAAAAAAACUAAAUAAGGAUGAGAACACUGUACACUAUAAUAACAAUAUUGUACAAUAAUCAACUGUGAAUGAUUUAGCUAUCCUCAGCAAUACAGUGAUCCAAAACAUUUCCAAAGAACUUAUGAAAAAUGCUAUUCAUCUCCAAAAAAAGGGGUUGAAUCUGACUUCAGAUGGAAGCAUACUUUUAAAAAUUUGUCUUUCUUUUUCUUUUUUGUCUUUCUUUUUUUUUCACAACAUGACUAAUAUGUAAAUAUAUUUUGAGGAAUUGCUUGUUUUCUCAAUAAGAAGGGAG
rnacentral:lncRNA from 1 species